UACGUAGGGACCGAGCGUUGUCCGGAAUCAUUGGGCGUAAAGCGCGUGUAGGCGGCCCGGUAAGUCCGCUGUGAAAGUCCAGGGCUCAACCCUGGGAUGCCGGUGGAUACUGUCGGGCUCGAGUCCGGAAGAGGAGUGUGGAAUUCCUGGUGUAGCGGUGAAAUGCGCAGAUAUCAGGAGGAACACCAAUGGCGAAGGCAGCACUCUGGGACGUGACUGACGCUGAGACGCGAAAGCGUGGGGAGCAAACAGG
rnacentral:rRNA from 1 species